rnacentral:rRNA from 1 species
UGCGUAGGCGGCCCUUUAAGUCGGAUGUGAAAGCCCGCGGCUUAACCGCAGAAUGGCAUUCGAAACUGGAGGGCUUGAGUGUCGGAGAGGGUAGUGGAAUUCCCAGUGUAGCGGUGAAAUGCGUAGAUAUUGGGAGGAACACCAGUGGCGAAGGCGACUACCUGGACGAUAACUGACGCUGAGGCACGAAAGCUAGGGGAGCAAACA